UAUUAUUGUUAAUUAAUAAUUUAUAAAAAAAAAAGGAAAUUAAAAAUUCUCUCUCUUCCUCUCUCUCGUGCGUGACCCUUCCCCGUCUUCUUCCUUCUUUUUUUUUCCUCUUCUUCUCCUACUUCAUCCCCAUACCCUAGCCUCCAUAGCCUCCCCCAUCUUUCUUUUUCUUUUUCCUUUUCUUUUCCUUUCAGAUCUGCAGCCGACCGCCGAUCGUCUCGGUCUUCCAUUGAAGCUAAACGUCGUCGUCGUCGUCGGUUGGUGUCGUCGGCAUCGCGUUCCCUCUCACCUUGCCAUUCGUCCGGCUACGUUUGCGCCAGUCUCCAUUCGUGAAGUCCAGCCGCCGCGUGACCCUCUGCCCAGCCCCCGCGUGAUCCCCUGCCUUUCAGCCGCCACGUGACUCCCUGCCUUCCAACAGUGUGUUCCAAGUCGGCUCAUACUCCAAUAUUUCUUGCAAUCUUGUUUCGUUUUGGUUCGUCUAUCGUGGCCUCUGUUUCAUCGUAAACCGACAAAGUGUUGUUGGUAAAAAUAAUAAUAAUAAUAAUAAGUUGUGGGUUCGUAGUUGUUUCAUUAAUUCAAGUAUUAUUGUUGGGUAAUUGUUCAAUUGUUGUUCAAUCAUUUAAGGUAUUGAAGGUAGCGUUUAAAUCCCUUGGACGCACAACACAUUUUAGAUCUUGGUUGAAGUUCGAUUUUGCUAAUACUCAAGAUUUUUUUUCUCGUGGACCUUAGUCGAUUAAGGAGCUUCCCUAACUGGAGGUAUUUUUUCUGGUGGGUUGUUGUUUGGUUGAAUAUAUGAUUUAUGGUUAUGGUUGUUUUUCUGUGGAUUGGGGAAAGGACCUGGUUGUGUCCUUGUAGACUGAAGUGGAUGUUAUGAUUAUACUGAUGUACUGAAGUGCUUCAGACUGACUUUGGCUAAUUUUGAAUAAGAUGACUGCUAGGGACCAAGUGAAGAGUUUAUGCAAAUGAGAAUAUUUAACUGAACUAUGAAUGACUGUUAAAAUGUUUAGAAUGGACUGAGGGGAAAGUUGUUAGCUUUUAUUGGGAUGUGUGCCUUGUAGGUGUCCUACGGAAUCACCAAUUUUUAUGCAUCGUUCGGGAGCAUUAGACUGAUAUGUGUUUCUGCAGAACACUAGACUGAAAUGUACGUCCCUCGGGGCGUUAGACUGAAAUGUGUAUCCUACGGGAUCACAAGACUGUGACUGUGCAGGGUAUCCCAAUAGGAUGUUAACAAUUUAUUUUCCCCUGACGGGACCAGUAGUGGGUCUCUUACUAAGUAUUUUUAUACUCACCCCUUUAUGUUUAAUUCUUCAGGCAAAGGUAAUAAAGGUGGCAAACCGGCGAGGGACAUGAAGGAAGCGUGAUCGCCAGAGGGGACAUUUUAAAUUCGCUUCCGCUUAGUGAUUUACCGUAUUGUUUUGUUUUCGUACUUGAGACUGUUUAGAAAAUUUGAGGUUUAAAUGUAUUCAAAGACUAGAAAUUUAUUAGUUUUAUUUUCUUGAAAGUUUUGGUUAUUUUAAACUGGGCCCAAACAAAAAUAAAUUAUGUUUUCUUGAGACUUUAAAUUUAAUUAAAUUUGGUACUUUGUGUAAACUCAAGUCUUUGUGUUAAUUUAACGAUUUUGGCUUA